rnacentral:rRNA from 1 species
AUUGAACGCUGGCGGCAUGCCUUACACAUGCAAGUCGAACGGCAGCACGGGAGCAAUCCUGGUGGCGAGUGGCGAACGGGUGAGUAAUAUAUCGGAACGUGCCCAGUAGUGGGGGAUAGCCCGGCGAAAGCCGGAUUAAUACCGCAUACGACCUGAGGGUGAAAGCGGGGGAUCGCAAGACCUCGCGCUAUUGGAGCGGCCGAUAUCAGAUUAGCUUGUUGGUGGGGUAAAAGCCUACCAAGGCGACGAUCUGUAGCUGGGCUGAGAGGACGACCAGCCACACUGGGACUGAGACACGGCCCAGACUCCUACGGGAGGCAGCAGUGGGGAAUUUUGGACAAUGGGCGCAAGCCUGAUCCAGCCAUGCCGCGUGCGGGAAGAAGGCCUUCGGGUUGUAAACCGCUUUUGUCAGGGAAGAAACGGCUCUUGAUAAUACCGAGAGCUAAUGACGGUACCUGAAGAAUAAGCACCGGCUAACUACGUGCCAGCAGCCGCCGUAA